GUGCCAGCCGCCGCGGUAAUACGGAGGGGGCAAGCGUUGCUCGGAAUUACUGGGCGUAAAGGGUCCGUAGGCGGUUUUGCAAGUUGGAUGUGAAAGCUCAAGGCUCAACCUUGGAAUUGCAUCCAAAACUGCAUUACUUGAGUCCAAGAGAGGUUGGCGGAAUUCCCGGUGUAGCGGUGAAAUGCGUAGAUAUCGGGAGGAGCACCAGUGGCGAAGGCGGCCAACUGGCUUGGUACUGACGCUGAGGGACGAAAGCGUGGGGAGCGAACCGGAUUAGAUACCCGGGUAGUCCACGCCCUAAACGCUGGAUGCUAGGUGUGGGGGUUUUAACCUCCUUGCCGAAGUUAACGCAUUAAGCAUCCCGCCUGGGGACUAUGGUCGCAAGGCUGAAACUUAAAUGAAUUGGCGGGG
rnacentral:rRNA from 1 species